rnacentral:lncRNA from 1 species
UCCACGCCCCAUCGGGGCAGAAGCCCACUGUCCCCUAAAUGUUUCUGGGGGAAAGUGUCCUUGGCAUUUUCACAAGGGAGUAGACGGCCAUCCUCGCUGUGAGCCCCAGCCUUUGUGAUGGUGGCAGCAAUGCCAGCAUGUAGACCUCAGUCCAUCCCCCUCCGCAGCCUCCGCACCUGCCCUGCUCCACAGCUUCCACAC